rnacentral:lncRNA from 1 species
AACGAAUUCAACAGUGUGAAAUUCAGUUAAACUGAGUCUAGUUUAAAUUUUUCCGACUUGUACAACUCGUAUGAUGCUCAGUUUUUAAUUUGGUUCGAAAAAUACGAAAUCCAAAAGAAUAAAAUGAGCAUUGUUCUCCUCAAUCGCGUUAUCCUCCGACUAAAAAAUACAUCGAAAUUCGCCGCUAAUUGGCUAUCAUCAAACGGUAAAACGGAUUGAGACAGUAUGGGUUUUUACGCGCGGUUUUCCCGCUCUUAGCUUUAUGUUAAGAUUUAUCCUAUGAUUUAGUUUUUAUAUCAUCAUAAUAAAUUGAGUCUCCUAUUACAACAGGUGAAUGGAUACGUCGUUUUUGGGAUUCCCCGUUCGCUUGAUAGCAUAGUAUAAAACUCCUCUCAGACGCUUAGAAAGCUCAAACGUGUGCCCUUCAACAAGCGCGACGCUGAUAUUAUCAUUGUGAGUACUUCGAAUUUAUUUCUAUUCGAGUAUAUUUUAGUGAUUACCGUUAAAAGCGUGCUUACUGUUAUUCUAAGUUGGUAACUACACCACAUUUUUUGAUAAGGAACUACUAUUUUUGACUUUUUUCUGAAACAAUACAUGUGCCAUAAGUAUCCCAACGUAGAUAGGUGUUUUUCAGGUGUUUUUUCAAAUACGCCAGACAAGUGGUUUCUGUGCUUAAAAUGUACUCUUAAAUGCAAAGUUUUAAUAACAUUUCCAUAAUCCGACAAAUAGAUUUCAGAAUUCCUCGCGAUAUGCAUGCUUUCCUGAACAUCUACAACAAAAAGUACAAAAAUUCAUGGAGGCAAUUUCUUCUUGAGAAAGUGAUUUUUCUCGAGUAAGGUCGGAAAUUCGGAAUUUGAGCCCUCGAUGGUAAAUACGCGAUCGAUGCCAAAAAUCAAAAUUCGCUUUCGUUCAUUUUUUUGCCAGUGUAAGACGUAAAGAUGAACCAUCAAUCCACUUUCCCUCACACUCGGCAAGUUAAAUCAUACAAUUCGUUGUUUCCUGCACGAAAGAGCGUAAUUCAGUUUCAAUUUUGCCAAAUUUCCUCGCGAAAAUUGCUUUUACUGGGAGAAUCUCGGGAAUUUUUAGCUGAAAAUUAUACCGAUUUUUCCACCGAUCUCAUAAACAAAUUAGACAAAUUUUCAAUGAAAAUUGCGCAGGUUUAUUUUUGUGAAAAAUUAGAUUGUUUGAGUCAACUUUGUAACCUUGGAAUGGAGUUAGUUCCUAAGUCCAGGAGACGACAAAUUGCCUCACCCAAGGGACUCCUUCGGUUGAACUCAAAUUUCAAAGCAACAGAAGGGUCGACUUACAAAUCACGUUACACUAAAACUUGGAGCUUCGUACCAUCUCCUCCACCCUUCCUUAUCACUCAAGAUUUUACAUAUUUGAGAUGGAGGUUGAUCCCAGCUUAAAAUCAAUCGCACCAUGCAAAGGCUGUUCGUGUUUUUCCUCCUGGUUGUCAUGACCGCCUCCAUGCUCUUCAUUCACGCAGAUGCAUGCAUCAACCAGUGGUCAAGAUGCAAGCCCGACGGAAGCAUAGGAAACUGCUGCAGCGGAAAUUGCUUCAGGAGAGGUCCGACUGGGAAUUCGGUAUCUGUAAUAAACAGGGACAUUCUUGAAUCUACCGAGUUGGCACAAUUGAUUUCUCUUGUUUGAACCUUUGCAAAAAUGUGAAUGAAGUAAGAAAGUCGUAAUGUAAAUGGCAGAACUGGUGCCAUGUUCUGGUGGACGAGUUCCGAUCCCGAUGUGCGCCGGUAACUUUCUUUAUACAUUUUCGAUCCAAAAUGGCGAAAGAAAAUACCUGAUAAUUCCGAUCCGCUUUAUUUAAAUCAGAGGGCCAGCUCCCCGUUACUUGCAAAUAAUCGAUUGUAUCGAAAAAGUGACCCGGCGUGACACAGGAGUCUCCGCAUUCGGGGCCUGGAAAAUGCUUUAAAGGGGCGCUAGCUCUCCUAUUUACAUUACGACUUAUAAACUCUGUGCAAAUGUGUCGAAUCUCAAAGUCAGAAUCGACUAUUCACCACAGGUUUAGAUGGAGAAUACCCAGUGUUGCCAACCUACUAUAUCUGACUCUAACCGGGAUGUCGACAAAACUAAGCCCAACGAAUCUCCUCUUUUUCACAUUUUGUGCUCAUCGUUUUACACGAUGCGCUUCCGAUAGGUAGGAUCCACAUCCCAUCUCCGGAUAAAAUCGAUCACAGGAAAUUUAAUUGAUCGAAUUCCAAAAUCCAAACGAAUUUUCUCACCUAUCUAAAAUUGCAAAUCAUGCUUGAAUUUAAAUUGUAUUCCUCGGUGCAAUUCUCAGACCUUUUGUAAUUCUCCUUCAUUGAGAAGAGGUUCUAAGAAAAUUUAAAUUAAUUAUAGUAUAUUUAGUUCUCUAGAAGAAAUAAAGGAAAAACAUGUGAUAAGGCGAACAUUUUGAAGCAUCGGAUUUAAGAUAAAAGUCCCAGGGUUGACCAAUGAUGUCAAUCAUUUCGAUGUUACGUCUCGUGGCGUCAAUUUUCCGUCCAUUGACAUUUACGUUUUGCACAAGCGGAGAUUGAACGCGGAACGCUUGACAAUAAUGCAGGUUUUUGCAAAUAGCAACCUCAUGAUUUUCCUAAUUGUAAUUCAGUCGUAAAAAUAAAAUAAAAAGUGAAAUGAAAAAAAAUAAAUAUUAAGUACAAUGUAAAAUAAAUAAUUCUAUGAAAAUAAAUUUAACUUGAAAUUAUUUAAAGAUUUGAGUGUUUUUUUUUCUUUUUAAAAUUCAUGUAUAUAAUGAAACUUACGAAGCUCCACCUUCGUUUGUGCGCUGUUUGUACUACAAAAGACACCAUUUCGAUAGGUAAUCGAACUUUCAUUCAGCAAAAAGGAACCAGUGCGAUUAC